rfam:Oryza barthii chromosome 8, whole genome shotgun sequence.
UUUAAGUAAAGCCAUGAGUUUUCAUGUUUAAUUUUGAUCAGCCAUUUUAUUUAAAAACAUUUUAUGAAUAACACUUUUAUUUUUAUUAGAUGAUAAAACACGAACAAUAUUUUACACGUGACUUAUGAUUUUUUUAAAAAAGUUUUAUAAAUGAGACGGACGAUCAAAAUUAAACACGGAAAUUUAUUGCUGCGUUUAAA